UUGCUAAAGCUGUGAAAAAUGUGUCAUGCAUAAAAAGUAUGCAAUUUUCAUGUAAUUAGAGGAACACAAGAUGAAAAUGAGUUCCAUCAGAGCAAUCAAGGAUGGUAAUGUGAAGCUCUUCAACACAGCUACCUUUUGGGUUAUAUGCUCACCCUUAAACCAAUUACUGGUAAGUGUAAUGGAAUUACUACACUUCGUUUUUGGACUUUUUUUUUUUUUUUUUUUUUUUUUUUUGAGACUGAGUCUCACUCUGUCGCCCAGGCUGGAGUGCAGUGGCGCGAUCUCGGCUCGCUGCAGCAUCCGCCUCCUGGGUUCACGCCAUUCUCCUGCCUCAGCCUCCCGAGUAGCUGGGACUACAGGCGCCCGCCACCAUGACCGGCCAAUUUUUUGUAUUUUUAGCAGAGACAGGGUUUCUCCAUGUUAGCCAGGAUGUUCUCGAUCUCCUGACCUCGUGAUCCGCCCGCCUCAGCCUUCCAAAGUGCUGGGAUUACAGGCGUGAGCCACCGCGCCCAGCCUUUUUUUUUUUUUCACUCUCUCUCCCAGUCUGGAGUGCAAUGGUGCCAUCUUGACUCACCGCAACUUCCGACUCCCGGGUUCAAGCGAUUCUUCCGCCUCAGCGUCCAGAGUAGCUGGGAUUACAGGCGCCCACCACCACGCCCGGCUAAUUUUUGUAUUUUCAGUAGAGACAAGGUUUCUCCACGUUGGCCAGGCUGGUCUCGACCUCAGAUGAUCCACCUGCUUCAGCCUCCCAAAGUGCUGGGAUUGCAGGCAUGAGCC
rnacentral:lncRNA from 1 species